GACAUGGGCAGGAGCUGCUGGCCCGGAGCCACUAUGCUGCUGAGGAGAUCUCAGAGAAGCUCUCCCAGCUACAGUCCAGGCGCCAGGAGACAGCUGACAAGUGGCAGGAGAAGAUGGACUGGCUGCAGCUUGUUUUGGAGGUGCUUGUGUUUGGGAGAGAUGCAGGGAUGGCAGAGGCCUGGCUGUGCAGCCAGGAGCCAUUAGUUCGAAGUGCAGAGCUGGU